GGAGGGAGGGCGGAUAUUCUGACCGCCUGACCUCCGCCCCCUCGGGGCACCAUGGCUGCCCCCGCCUUGCAUCGCUGCGGGACGGGCGGCGGGAACAACACCCGGCGCGGUGGGCGCCAAGGAACAGUGAUGUCGGAGAGCGCCGCGCGCCGGUCUCGACGCGCAGCGCGAUCCCUCCAUACGUCGAACUCUUACGACUCUCGGCAACGGAUAUCUUGGCUCUCGCAUCGAUGAAGAACGCAGCGAAAUGCGAUACUUGGUGUGAAUUGCAGAAUCCCGUGAACCAUCGAGUCUUUGAACGCAAGUUGCGCCCGAGGCUAUCCGGCCGAGGGCACGCCUGCCUGGGCGUCACGCCUAGCGUCGCUCCGCGCACCUCGCCCCCUCGUCACGGGGGGCGGUGGGUGCGGAUGCGGAGAUUGGCCUCCCGUGCCUGAAGGCGCGGCGGGUCGAAGUGCGUCCGCCGGUCGGGACGGACGCGGCGAGUGGUGGACGGACACGCACGGCGCUGAACGUCGCCUCCGCCCCCGACCCCAGCGGUGCAUGCAAGGAACCCUGCC
rnacentral:rRNA from 1 species